rnacentral:rRNA from 1 species
CGUGCGAAGGUAGCGUAAUCACUUGUUCUUUAAUUGAGGACNNGUAUGAACGGCCCACGAGGANUACACUGUCUCCUUUUUCUAAUCAAUGANNCUGAUCUCCUCGUGAAGAAGNGNGAAUAANUAUNUAAGNCGAGAAGACCNUAUGGAGNUUUAAACAACCGGGAUACUUGCUAAUUAUUAAUCUAUCUUCUGAAACUAAACAAAUUAAAGCAUCUUACCCCCUAGUUUUAGGUUGGGGUGACCACCGAGAAAAAAUUAUCUCCACGCUGUAAGAAGCCUCCCAUCUUUUAAGCUAAGAGUCACACCUCUAAGCAUCAACACAUUGACUCCAUUGACCCAAUAUUUGAUCAACGAACCAAGUUACCUAGGGAUACAGCGCAAUGUACUUUAAGAGCUCAUAUCGACCAGUAGGUUUACGACCUCGAUGUUGGAUCAGGGUAUCCUAGUGGUGCAGCCGCUA